ensembl:lncRNA
AGGAACACUGGAGGAGCUUCACACGAUCCUCUCAUCUUCAGUUCCUGAGCAGAUCGGCCUGUUGUCUCCCAUCUCUGGGGUCGUCAUUGGAACUGCGUCUCACCGUCUUAAGCAACGCAAGGGCACGAGACUCAGAUGAGGAAAUUCUCAGAUGUGACGCCCCUGCGGUUCUGUUUGCUUCCACGGACCUCGGAGCAGCCAUAACUCGAUCCGCCUCCAUCCCAGAGGUGCCAUUCCAAGGAUAGAGGGGAGUGUCUGUGCCAAAACUCAUUCCUGAACUCCUGAAGGGAAGAGCCGUGGGAAAUGGAGGGAUAGCUGGAUUGAUGAGGGUGCUGGAGAACAGAACACGUCUCCACCUGAGCGCUGGGCUCCUUAAUCAGUUCAUCCUCCCAGACACUUGAGCUCAACUUAUUCUGGAGGAUUUUUGCUCUGAGACUUCAAAUCUUCCGCUAUAUGUUUUUAAUCUAUUCUAGUUUCUUUGCUCAAGUCAAUGCUCCCCUUCAUCAAAUGUGGCAGAUGGGCCUGAGAAACGAUUCUCUGUCAAACUAAAAGCAAUAACGUGUAAGGUAGAGUGAGGUGGCAGAGGAAAGCAGGGUGAAAGUGCUGACUGGGUUUGAGUGUUUUUGUGCGUGUGUGCAAGGCCUGUGCAGCAAUGGAUGAGGGUUUGUGCCGAGGGUUGAUAGGAAGAGGCAGCUAGAUAACCGAAGCCUCUAUGUGUGCGCAGGAGGGUGCGUUAGUGUGCGAAUGUGCAUGUGGGAGCAUGUGAUUGUCUCUUGGAGUGCAGAAUUCUGAGAAUUGGCCAUUAUUGCAGCUCCCUUCCAUUUUUGUGUUAAAGCCGGGAGGGUCAACAUUAACGGCGCGCGCUCGAGAGAGAAAGGGACGAAUGCAGCAAAAAAUAAAUGAAUAAAUAACAGUGACA